ACUUGAUCCGGACUGCAAAACUUACGAAGAUGUUUGCAUACUGAAGAAGAGUCCUUGGACAAAUAAUGAAACCCUCUUGGUGCCCACUACACAGGCAGGGGUGUCCAGACCUGAUCUAAGAAAGCCAGUGUUCUGUGGAGUUCAGCUCUAACACACCUGCCUGGAACUUCAGACUAAUGAAAUUGAAGUAUCCAAUGAAGACCCUAACAGUAUGGAGUAUAUCGA